rnacentral:rRNA from 1 species
CGCCAGACUCCUACGGGAGGCAGCAGUGGGGAAUAUUGGGCAAUGGGCGCAAGCCUGACCCAGCAACGCCGCGUGAAGGAAGAAGGCUUUCGGGUUGUAAACUUCUUUUCUCAGGGACGAAGAAAGUGACGGUACCUGAGGAAUAAGCCACGGCUAACUACGUGCCAGCAGCCGCGGUAAUACGUAGGUGGCAAGCGUUAUCCGGAUUUACUGGGUGUAAAGGGCGUGUAGGCGGGAGUGCAAGUCAGAUGUGAAAACCACGGGCUCAACCUGUGGCCUGCAUUGGAAACUGGCGGGCUGGAGUGCCGGAGAGGCAGGCGGAACUCCUAGUGUAGCGGUGAAAUGCGUAGAUAUUAGGAGGAACACCAGUGGCGAAGGCGGCCUGCUGGACGACAACUGACGGUGAGGCGCGAAAGCGUGGGGAGCAAACAGGAUUAGAUACCCUUGUACC